rnacentral:rRNA from 1 species
ACAGUGGACGCGAGCAUCUGUGGCCAAGUUUUUAAGGGCGCACGGUGGAUGCCUUGGCACCAGGAACCGAUGAAGGACGUGGGAGGCCACGAUAGUCCCCGGGGAGCUGUCAACCAAGCUUUGAUCCGGGGGUUUCCGAAUGGGGAAACCCGGCAGUCGUCAUGGGCUGUCACCCGCUGCUGAACACAUAGGCAGUGUGGAGGGAACGAGGGGAAGUGAAACAUCUCAGUACCCUCAGGAAGAGAAAACAACCGUGAUUCCGGGAGUAGUGGCGAGCGAAACUGGAUGAGGCCAAACCGUAUGCGUGUGAUACCCGGCAGGGGUUGCGCAUGCGGGGUUGUGGGAUCUCUCUUUCAUAGUCUGCCGGCUGUGAGACGAGUCAGAAACCGUUGAUGUAGGCGAAGGACAUGCGAAAGGUCCGGCGUAGAGGGUAAGACCCCCGUAGCUGAAACAUCAGCGGCUUGUUUGAGAGACACCCAAGUAGCACGGGGCCCGAGAAAUCCCGUGUGAAUCUGGCGGGACCACCCGCUAAGCCUAAAUAUUCCCUGGUGACCGAUAGCGGAUAGUACCGUGAGGGAAUGGUGAAAAGUACCGCGGGAGCGGAGUGAAAUAGUACCUGAAACCGUGUGCCUACAAGCCGUGGGAGCGUCGCUGCAUGGCUUGCACUGCAGUCGUGACUGCGUGCCUUUUGAAGAAUGAGCCUGCGAGUUAGCGGUGUGUAGCGAGGUUAACCCGUGUGGGGAAGCCGUAGCGAAAGCGAGUCCGAACAGGGCGUUUGAGUUGCACGCUCUAGACCCGAAGCGGAGUGAUCUAGCCAUGGGCAGGUUGAAGCGGAGGUAAGACUUCGUGGAGGACCGAACCCACCAGGGUUGAAAACCUGGGGGAUGACCUGUGGUUAGGGGUGAAAGGCCAAUCAAACUCCGUGAUAGCUGGUUCUCCCCGAAAUGCAUUUAGGUGCAGCGUCGUGUGUUUCUUGCCGGAGGUAGAGCACUGGAUAGGCGAUGGGCCCUACCGGGUUACUGACCUUAGCCAAACUCCGAAUGCCGGUAAGUGAGAGCGCGGCAGUGAGACUGUGGGGGAUAAGCUCCAUGGUCGAGAGGGAAACAGCCCAGAGCAUCGACUAAGGCCCCUAAGCGUACGCUAAGUGGGAAAGGAUGUGGAGUCGCAGAGACAACCAGGAGGUUGGCUUAGAAGCAGCCACCCUUGAAAGAGUGCGUAAUAGCUCACUGGUCAAGUGAUUCCGCGCCGACAAUGUAGCGGGGCUCAAGCGUACCGCCGAAGUCGUGUCA